UGUCUAAAGGAGAAGAGAAUAUGCAUUGUGAGGUGAAAGAGGCAGCUCUAUGUUGAGAAUACUUACCUAAAUAGAAUGCUAAUAGCGAUCGUUCUGUGGUAGUGUUCUACAAAAGUUCUACAAAAGUUUAUGCUGAUUAAAUUGAACGAACAUCAGAAUGAGAGGAUGUGGACAUUUUCUCCCAGUUGAGUUAAACAUUUUGAUCCUUUGUAGGUGUCUUCAGGGAAUGAAGGGUACAGUGGUGGAAGUGUCUGAGUAAAUGGUAUAAUACACCGGUGAACAGUAGGAUAGACUAAAAGACAGCAGGCACACAGGAGACUUGGGAGGCUGGGACGCCUAGGCUCGAGUCUUUCAUCAUGCAGCUGUGACCUAAUUGUGGGAGACGCGGGUUCUGAGCUUUGGUUCAUAGUUUGGUGGGGAGGACUAGGUGAGCAGAAGGCAAAUAUGAUGUCAGGACAUGAGAGAAAUAGGGGAUGAUACUUGAAGUAAGCCAGAAUUUUAGGAGUAGAGGUGUAUGAGAAGGGUGUAUUCCAAAAUGAUAGACCAAAAGGCACUAAAAUAUUGAGGUCAUAAAUGGUAACAUGCUUUAAAUGGUAGCACUUAAAGUUAUCCUUUAUGGAACAGCAACCAUGUGUGCUAUGAAAAGGAACAAAACUAGACCUUUACUCUCAUAAUUCGCAAUCAAGAGAUUUUGUGUGUAGCACAACCGUGAUCUAUAUAAAGAGUGGUGGAGGUAUAAUGGCCAGUCCAAGAAGGUAUAAUUUCUCUGGACUGGCUAUUGUAGCUUCACUCAGUGGUACGUGAAGUGAAAGGAGUAGGAAAUACGAAUGUAAAAAUAAAUUGGGAUGUUAUUGUUGCCUGUUCUUUUGACAGAAAUGGUCUAGAAAACCAAAUAUGUGGCUAGUACUAGGGGAGAGAGAGACAUAGGAAGUCUGGGUUGGGGUCUUCAGUUCUUGUAUGACUGUCAGCUACAGUCAUAAGUUGACGCCUUUAGGGUACUUGGUCUGGUUGUCGGUUUCUAUACUGGAGGACUUCUGACCCCCCCCCCCCAGUUGGAAAUCAUCAACUCUCCCUCAGGGAUUGAUUUAUGGAGUACUCCUCAAACUUCUUAGGUACUUUCAACCUCUUCUUGGCUGCUCACAACCAAGAGUGUGUUUUCCCCUUUCCAACAGGUAAAGUCGGAGGACAGAAUUUUCAUGCAUAGUUGAGCAGGUUUUCACAUGUCUUGGGAACUCUUUGUGGUAUUAUCUAUUGUGGCAUAACAAAUUACCCCCAAAGCUUAGUAGUUUAUUUUGUAUUUUUUUAAGAAUGUGAUUUAAGGUUUAUUUUAGAGGAUAGCUAUAGACAUCAAUGUUUAUCUUGGAAUGACCUAGUGGCCCAGACUAAGAAUGGGAUAUUGAUAAAGUUAAUCCUGUACUUAACAAUAUUUGUACAUUUUGUUCUCAGUAUAUUUUGUGACCAUUCUGCAGAACCGAGGCUGAGACUGCACCACAUCGAUUGCAUUCCUAGGGUCCCCUCCAGUAUGAGUUCUCACGUGUCAGUGAAGACAGGAAUAACUGACAAUUUUUCCAGUGCUGAUACAUUUAGAGAUUUUGCAUCCAGACAGGGUUUUUGUGUAUUUCCUAAUGUAAGAGACAUCGUUAAAGGCUGUCCCUCAUUCUUUAUACUCACAAGUUCCUUUGCAGUGUGAGUUCUCAAAUUUUUUAAGGCAUGUGGAAAAAAUGGAAGACUUUCCAAUACUGAUAUCAUUCAGAAUGAAUUCUCUCCAGAAUGAAUUCUCAUAUCUGUAAAAGUUGAGAGAACUUUCAGAACUUUCCCAUAGCCAUUACAUUCAGAGUAUCUUCAUUUGGUCAGUAAUGUGAACGCUUGUGCUACAGGGCUUUCCACGUUUCUUAUAUGAGGGUCAACAUGUAGCCAUUUAAAACAAACAUUAAUCUUCAUACAGUUAAACUAGGUCGAGA
ensembl:lncRNA